AGUCACAACACCCCCUGGGAGGCUGAGCCAUGACCUCUUCCCCUGGUGUCUCUGCCUGCAGAAGUUCGGUCCUAAAAAAUCCGCUCAUGCACCUUAGAGCGCAGGAAAGGAUCUCAGUGUAGCGUAAGACUGUUGUGCCUACGGGGAGAGUGGGAACCGGGAUUAAACCAGCUCCUUGGCGCGUUUCCUUUGAGCUGGAGGAAGCCGUUUACGAACCUGAGAGCUGGCGCCCAGGGCGAGGCGCCCUUGUGCCGGCGAGAGGAGAGGAGAGGUGGGACGCAGGCAGCGCGCCUUGUCCGCCAGAGACAACCUGCUCUGAGCGCGCAGGGCACCGAGCACCGGGUGCCUCCAGCAUGGAGUGGGAGCUCAACUUUCUGCUCUACCUUGCGCUCUUCUUCUUCCUGCUCUUUUUACUUUUCCUCCUACUCUUUGUGGUCAUCAAGCAGCUGAAGAACUCCGUGGCCAGCACUGCCGGGGCUCUCCAGCCCGGGCGCCUGUCGCUGCACCGGGAGCCUUGGGGCUUCUCUCGCGAGCAAGCCGUGUGACCAGCAGCGCACGGAUACUGGCGGAAGGGCAUGGAGCCGGGCUGGCUCCGGGCUUGGUCUUGGCUUGGAUCUUCUGGCCACACGUCUGUCCAGGUUCUAGGACCAGGCUCGGCUGCAGCACUGGCAGAUGCCUUUUUCCUCGGUUUCCACCCUUUGGUGUUCCAGAGCCUAGCAACUGCCCGGGGCUGGUGCCUAGAGGAUCACAGAUGCAGUUGCAAUGGGGUAACCAGGAACCCUGCAUGGAGGCUGAAACAACCAGAAAUGGAAGUUUUCUGCGAUGCCGUGCCACUGGUGUCCAGAAGUUUAAACCACCCCAACUCUUUUAGACUGGAGACUGCAGAGAACCCAGGAUGAAAGUCUUUCUUAUUGGGAAUCAAGAUGGAUUGCUGUCUUGAAAUUACUGGACUGAACAAUGGCUUAAGGUAUGGGUUUCAUUUUGUUCUCAUGUAACAAAGAAGUUGGGGUAGGCUAUUACUGGUGUUGGUUCAGCAGCUCAUGAUAUUUAGGGUCAAGGUGGCCCUUGAGGUUCCCAUGACUUUUCCCUUAGGUUCCUAGAUGGUUGCUGCAAUUCCCAGCAGGAAGGUGGAGGAGGCCCAAAGGGAAAACAGGGCCUGCCUGUUUGAGUUGGCUUCCUUUUAAAGAGUUUUAUUGGCAGCCCAAUAGCUUUUUCUUACAUCUCAUUGGCCAGACUGUGUCAUUGGCUCCUGCUAUCUCUAAGGUUGCCUGAGAAAUGUAGUUUUUGUAGCUGGACAUUAACUGCCUUUAAUGAAAAUCUGAGUUCUCUUGAUAAGGAUGAAGAUGAUGGUGGAUCUUGGGUGAACAAAUGAUAGUCUGUGCCCUGGAUAUAAAAUGCAAUAGUAAAGAAGCAUGAUGUUUGAAACAGAUCAGAACUGUGGCUCUGUUACCACUGGCAACACUCCAAGCAACACUGCUUUGUUCUGAGAGAGUGAAGACAUGCUAGGUCUUCCCAUGAAACACUUGCCAGCACUGACCUUCUCUCUCAACCAAUAUCCUUGACCCCAUCAGGCUUUUCUAGAGGAGGACCCUGGGAACCUACACACUUACUUGGAGGACAUAAUCUCUUCAUGGAGGUUUGAAAUAGGAUAAGGAAUGUUCUACCUUGCUGCUUCUACAUCUGCUUCAUUUAUCUCUUCUCUAAUUUUCCUAUCAAAUUUUUAGUGGAGUCUAGUUGUGUAUUUGAUCCCCAUAAAAGGAUCAUCCCUUCCAUGCACAGGGGAGGGUAAUCUAUGAAAAGAAAGGCUACUUUUCUCCCUUCUGUGAUUCCACCACCAGUCUAGGAAUAUCCUGGGAGAAUUGCAUCUCAAAGCUUUCCAUAAGCAGCCUACAUCCUGUCUAAGCAAAGGGAGAAGAAACACUUCCCACAUCCAGGGCUGUCCAAAAGAACUUUCUGUGAUGACAGAAAUGUUCUAUAUCUGCAUUAAUAUGGUAGCCACUAGCCACGUGUGGCUAGUGAAUAUUCGAAAUAUGGCUAGUGUGAUUGAGGAAGUAAAUUCUAAUUUUAUUUAAUUUUAAAUAAUUUAAAUAUAAAUAGCCACAUGUGGCUAGUGGCUGUUGUAUUGUAGAGCAUAGUACACACCUUUCUCGUGUUUUAGAACUUGCUGGGAGAGGUUUGAACAAGUCAUAUAUGUGGCGUUCCAUGGUCUUCACUGUUCCACCUUGCCAUUGAACUUGUCUCCCAGAGGAAAAAGAAAUAUGGUAUUUUGGAGCUAAAUUGAAGAUGUUAAUUGAACAUCUACACAUUGAAGUAUGUAUUCUUGUGUAAAUGGGAUGAUCUCCUGGGAAUAGGACCUGCGAUUGAUGUUAGUGAUUACUGAUGAUGGGAAACUGGUAGUGCUGGUCCAGUUAACAUCUCUAGUAUGUUCCUGGUUAGAAUGAGUCAGCAAAGAUUAUUUUAUUCUAUUGUGCAGUUCAUUCUGUGUUACUUUAUUUUUGUAUUAUUAUGACUGCUAAGUGAUUAUUCUGUGUCUGUUUUUCAAAAUGCUCUAUGGUUUAUAUUUUUUAAAAGGUUAUGAAAUAAAAAGUAAUUAUAUGUAA
ensembl:lncRNA